rnacentral:snRNA from 1 species
AGGUGUGAGGGCAAUCUGGCUGCGACAUCUGUCACCCCAUUGAUCGCCAGGGUUGAUUUGGCUGAUCUGGCUGGCUAGGUGGGUGUCCCCUUCCUCCCUCACCACUCCACGUGAGUCCCUCCCUCCGGAAGCUGGCGCUCUGUCGAAGAGGCCGGCCUUCCCCGAAUAGAGACAGACCUGUCUUCAGUUGAGGGUAUACGAUUAGCUGCGCUCCCCUGCUUGAACCUCCAAACAAGCUCUCAGAUAGUAGGAGAGACAGAGAGAGGGAAAGACACCACAACACUGAAGCUUCCCGCAAUGUGGUGCGGGCUUGGCU